GACGAACGCUGGCGGCGUGCUUAACACAUGCAAGUCGAACGGAAAGGCCCUGCUUUUGUGGGGUGCUCGAGUGGCGAACGGGUGAGUAACACGUGAGUAACCUGCCCUUGACUUUGGGAUAACUUCAGGAAACUGGGGCUAAUACCGGAUAGGAGCUCCUGCUGCAUGGUGGGGGUUGGAAAGUUUCGGCGGUUGGGGAUGGACUCGCGGCUUAUCAGCUUGUUGGUGGGGUAGUGGCUUACCAAGGCUUUGACGGGUAGCCGGCCUGAGAGGGUGACCGGCCACAUUGGGACUGAGAUACGGCCCAGACUCCUACGGGAGGCAGCAGGGGGGAAUACUGCACAAUGGGCGGAAGCCUGAUGCAGCAACGCCGCGUGCGGGAUGACGGCCUUCGGGUUGUAAACCGCUUUCGCCUGUGACGAAGCGUGAGUGACGGUAAUGGGUAAAGAAGCACCGGCUAACUACGUG
rnacentral:rRNA from 1 species